GAGCUUAAAGGCGCCGCUGCUCCGCCGCCCCUCCCCACGGGGUCUGUGGACACGCGAGCGGUGCCCUAAGCCAGGAGACCAGCCCCCUGGCCUUCGCUCGGCCUCAGCGCUGCCGCUCAGAACCCACUAAAACUCUCCCAGAGGCCCAACCAAGACACUCCUGGGUCCUAUCCCGGAGCUCCCAGUUCUGUGCCUGUCCCAAGAGCUGUCCUCGGGGGACCCGCUCCAGGGAUCCUCUCCCCUACAUUCCCGCAGUCUCCCGGGGAUGGAGCGGAGGAAAGGGGCGAUCAAGCUGAGCCGAAGUCCUGUCGACUCCACUGAUUCAUGAACAACUCCCAGCGAGUUCAGCACACGGGAACUGAACACCUACUCCGUGCCAUUCCCUGGGCACCUAGGCUGUCACCGUUUCGGGCGGCUGCAAGUCCCAAAGAGGGCUCUGCGUUUGGAGACCCUGAGGGGUCGUCUCACUCCAGCAGGUCCGAGGAGGAAAGCAGGACUAGGCAGCUGCGAAGGCGGGACGCACCACGCAGAGCGCCAAUCGCAGCCGAAGGAGCGAGGCAGAGGGAAGGCGGGGCCCGCCAAAGGUUCCACCCAGCGCGGGCUGGGAGGGGCCUCAGCGGCACUGGCUGCGGGUGGCAGGCUGGCUGGCUCCGCGGAGGUGAAUGGAGCCGCAGGUAGCCCUGGAACAAAGCGGCUCCACUAGCGCGGCGCGCGUGCGCGGGGCCUGCCGCGCUUCCCCUACGGAGUCAGGGCUGUCUGCGCUGGGGAGUCGGUCCCUGGCUGAUCCUGCAGUCCGUCCGGUCCGUUCCCUGCCCGGCGGAGUGCGCCCACAUCCUUGGGGCUUACCCCCUCCCACUCUGCCCGAGGCUGGGCGGCUCCCCGCCACCCUGCCUCUACAUCCUGGAGGGAAUCAGGGUCAGAGAUGAAUGGCGGCGGUGCCUGAGAUUUGCCAGAGUGCGUGCCUCUGGAACCGGCAGGAGUUGAGCUUUCUGACCAGCUUGGCUGACUCUGGCUGCUAUGCUGAGAACAGAUGGAGUGGGCCAAUGGCAGAAGCAGGCCAGGCAGGAAAGGAGCAAGCCUCAUCGCAGCAGGGGGCCUGGUUCAAUGCCUGGUUGGAGAACUAGAUCCUGCAUGCUGCAACUAGAAGACCCUGUAUGCCACAAGGAAGACCCGGUGCAGCCAAAUAAAUAAAUACUAGAAAAGAACGAAAUGAUGCUGUGUGCAGCGACGUGGACGCAACUAGAGAUUAUCCUACUAUGUGAACAAGUCAGAGAAAGACAAAUACCACGGGACGUCACUUCUGUGUGGAAUCUACAAUAUGACGAACUCAUCUAUCAAACAGAACCAUGAACAUACAGAACCAAGCGGUGGUUGCCAAGGGGGAAGGGGCUGGGGUUAGCAGAUAUAAGCUUUUGUAUAUAGAAUCGAUAAACAACAACAUCUUACUGUAGCACACAGAAUUAUAUUCACUAUCCCUUGAUAAACCACAAUGGAA